GGGGAUAGUGUGUCAAGGGAGUUAUGUCAUAGGCAUAAUAAACUCUCCACAAUGAAAGUUUGGACAAGUUACAGUAUUGUACAACACUUAUCCUAUAUAGCUUUUUACACAUGUUUUUAUUUUGUAUGGUUGAUCUCGUGAACAAUUAAUAUAUGAACUUUGUAUAGUUUAUUACUGGAAUCAUAAAUCCCAAAACAAAAGGUGAAGGUAACAUACGAAAAAGGCUUUCCUAUUGAGAGGAUUUCUUCUUAGACACCGAAAACAUAAUGUAAUAACCUAUGGACCAAGUUGGACCAACAAUUU
rnacentral:lncRNA from 1 species